GGGUUGGACUUGAUGAUCUGUUGAGGUCCCUUCUGACCCUAACAUCUAUGAAUCUAUGAGAUAUCGUUUCUGUGCCUUCUAUACCUGAAUGACAUUGAAAACUUUACCGGGGAAUAGAAAGGAUUGUAAGUUUUUACCCAGCAGGUAAAAACAUAGCUUUCCCAAAUUUGGGGUUUGGCAGAUGUCUGGGUUCCUGCUAAUAAUGAGAGAUUUUGCAGAGCAAGCACUACACUCAACUUGACCUUAACCACAGAGCUGACCAUUGAAGUACAGCAUGAGCCAACGCCACCACUGGUGUCCUUUACCUGACUGCAGGGGAGUGAGGCAAGGGACAAAUGUUGGUUCUUUCUUCUGAACCUUUCCAGCUUGCUGCUUCUGGUAAUCAAGACAAGCUUCACAAACUGGAACCUGUCUGUGUUAACUGGCACCAGACGAGGUCCUGGCACCCUAGGAGAGGCUUUGGUUUUGGUUUCAAGGUGCAGAUCAGUUUUGCAUUUGUGAAGAUGAUCGGGUAAAUUACUGGCUGCUGGGCACAGUGGGCGCUGUGCAGGUCCCUGCAGAUCCGCUUCAUGGGCACCACUCAGCCCUGCCGUACAGUCCACUGCCAGGGCAUCAGGGACCUUUCCUCAGGACUGCGCCAGCCUGCAGCCCCCAUGCUAUUUCAAUGCCAGACCUCUAUUGAACUGAGGCUACCAGCCACGCUGGAGAUGCUAUCAAGCCAGGGAAUAGCUAGGGGACUAUUCACAUGUCCGUGUUAGAUCUUCAAAUUUCAGCUUCAUGGAUUCAGUCUUAAAAUACUUAACCAAAUCCGGGUGCCCCUGGGAGUCCAGAUGGCUUGACUCUCCUCCUGCAUUUUUUUUCUUAAGCAAAACUCCCAGUGGCAGUUCUCCUAGUUGGGGCCGUAGGAUGCAGCCUUUUUCUAAAUUAGCCCGUGAAGAUGCCUUCAUGAUCAGGGUAUCGGGUUUAAAAUCCCUAGACUGUCUGGGGCCAGGAACAAUCGUAUGGUCAUGUUUGUGUUGGUGGGAAUCAGAUAAUACCAGGCGGGAUGCGCAUCAAGGGCAUUGUAAUAAAUAAAAUACAUUCCAGCAGGGUCUUUCAGGUCUUUCAUCUCUCAAAGGGAGAAAAGUUGCACAAACUUUGCCAAGCCUUUUCAGAUCAGACAUUAACGGUCAGUCUCAUGUGCUUUGGGGCAGACACUGUGUAAUAUCUAUAAGUUUUGGCCCAGCAGCCUCAGCUAAAAUAUUCCCUGAUGCCGAAGAGGUGGCCACAUUUCAAUAUUACAAUGUGUGUACUGUUUGUGAAGGGCUCUGGCACUGUCUAAAUGUCAAAUAUUAUAUGUCCUAUGCAGUGCUGUUUAAGAAUUGCAAAAUCACUGCAGCCCAUCUUUCUAGUCACUGGAAUGAACUCUUGUUCCUUAAGUAUAUGGGUUCUUAUCUAUAAUUAGCAAUUUACAGGGUAACUGCUAAGCAUUUUGUCACGCAAAGCUCUGCGUAAUUGCAUACUUUCCGUGCUUUCAGAGCACACAGUUCACGCUGCUGUUUUUAACUCCCUCUAUUGAAGGCCUGCUAUUUUGUGAAAAGUGAUAAGCAAACAUCAGCCUUGCAAAUCCCGUGUGCUGUAACAUUAAAAAAAGAGAGACAGUAAAUGAGUAAAUGAUAGGGCGGGACUUCACUGAAAGGCCAUAUCUAAUUAUACCUAUUAAAUGAGCAGCCCACCAAGCUUCCCUUUUAGCGGAUGGAAAUGCUUUGAGACACGUUUGGGUUCAGAAAGUUUGCCGCGUGCUAUCGCUGGCAAUAAAUCAUUUGUGCUAUGCAAACUAUGUAAUCUAUUGUAAAUCGCAACCAAGCUGUAGCAAUAAUGUUAUCCAUGUAAACCCUCUCCCUUUGGGGUCUCCUUUUUGUGCUGGUUUGCUCGGCCUCUAAGACGCUGGGGUUCAGAUCCAGGACUGGAGUGCUGAGAUGCUGCCACAAAACAAACAGCACAUUAUGUCAGGGCACCUACGCACAAACCCAGGGUAACGAAUGGGCGUGCAGUGCAGACAGACCAUCUGUUGCCUGGCUUCAAGUUUCCAUCCACACCUUUUCCCAGCCUGCUUGAAUUUAGCAAUUGUAUCCAUAAUCCUGACUCAGUCCGUGCCCCCUAGAACAACUGGCUGCCUUAAAUGAUUGGCAGUGAAACAGUUUGCAAUCUUGCCGUUCCUGUUGCUGUUGGGAGCCCCAUUGUCCACACCCCACGGGGAUGCCUGUAGAGCAUUUACAUCCUUGAGUGCGACUUGUCUAAGCCAUGCACUAAGCAACACACAGAUAGCAUUGCAGCAAACUGAGGCAUAGUGGAGAGGUUACCUUUGCAACCAGAAGGGCUAGAAGCUUACUGGAAACAUUUUUUUCCCUAAUCAAGAAGUUGCCAGAGCCAUCAGGUUAUUGCUGGCUUGUUAUAUCAACCAGCUGCUGCUCAAUCAGCCUCCUGUUCCUACCACUUGAUCCAUUUAUUCUGGGACUCUCAAAGCCACUUUGAAAUUUAGUGGGAUUUGAUCACUUCAUUCCAUACAACUGAGGCACCCUUCUUGGUAUUCAGGUCCAGCUCCCUGCAAUCACAACCCGAUCAUAUAACCCCGCUCACAACGCUCCUGUUGAAAGGUUGUUCCAGAAGCUCAUGCUGUGACGGGUACAAACCUCCUUCUAAUUCACAGUCUAAAUGUAUCCCCUGGGGCCCUGAAAGAGAUUCCAGCCUUCCUAGGUAUCGCAAUGACAAGCAGAACAAGUCGGAUAAAACUGGGAUUUCCUAUUGGCCAAUAAGUAUUUUUUAUGAGACAACUUCCUGCAGCUAAUUCAGUGCUUGUCGAUGCUCCAUUCUUAUAUGAUAUGACUAUAACAAAGAAGUGCUCAGCAUACCAGGGCACACAUUGUAUUUCAUUUGACAAGUGCCAGAAGCCAAAUCCUUUGUCCCAAGGGUAGUCCGUGGCCACCACUUGUAAGUCAACACCGGACAACUGAAAAUAUAUGUCAUAGCUCAAGCCAUGGGAAGUCACAGGAGGUGUUAACAGCCAUCCUAGUGGUCUCUUCUGCCCUUAAAAAUCUAUGAAACUCAGCGCCUUCUUCACACUGCCUUACCCAUCUCACCAUGCCCACAUGCUGCAUGUGCUUACAUGGAAAGGCAGUACCAAGAAAGCACUUUAAGUGUGCUCUUAAGUCCUCUCUUCCUCCCAUAUCCCUGUGACUCCUGGCAAACCCAGGUAGGCUGAGUCCUCAUUUCUGGCUGCUUUCCCAGGCAUCCCAACUCCUUUUUUGCACUGACAAUCCAGGGCAUCUGUAGAAGCAGCUGGCACCAAGGACAAUAAAGCACCUGACGUGGCACCUCUCAGUGGAGCAUCCACAAGCAUCUGGAACGAUCGUGGUCUGAGACCCACGCUGCUUUUGUUUGGGGGGGUGCUGUCACCAUUUUAUAGCCCCACACAGCACGUGCUGUUGGGUGUUUUCCCGAAAGCUGCAGUGGCCGGAGCUGCGUCACGACGUGAAGAUCUCAGCUUUUACAGUUUCCAAAAAGCUCUCACAAAAUGUUAUAGCUUUCACAGUGUUAAAGAAAAGCUUGAAAUGAACACUUAAAGGUUCAAAACUCAGGCAAA